UGGGGAAUCUUGCGCAAUGGGCGAAAGCCUGACGCAGCGACGCCGCGUGGAGGAUGAAGGUCUUAGGAUUGUAAACUCCUGUUAAGUGGGAAGAAAAGCCUGUUUCUAAUACAUACAGGAAAUGACGGUACCAUUAGAGAAAGCACCGGCUAAUCUCGUGCCAGCAGCCGCGGUAAUACGAGAGGUGCAAGCGUUAUUCGGAAUUAUUGGGCGUAAAGGGUGCGUAGACGGUAUGUUAAGUCAACUGUUAAAUUCUUCGGCCUAACCGGAGGUCAGCAGUAGAAACUGAUGUGCUAGAGGAUGGAAGAGAGAAGUGGAAUUCUCGGAGUAGCGGUAAAAUGCGUAGAUCUCGAGAGGAACACCGAUGGCGAAGGCAGCUUCUUGGUCCAUAUCUGACGUU
rnacentral:rRNA from 1 species